rnacentral:lncRNA from 1 species
GGGUGUGUAAUAAAAGGUGGAAAUUCCAAGAUGGAGAGAACAUGAAGUUUGUAAGGAAAAUUGAAGUAUUGUAAGGGUUGUGAGUUGAAUAAUAAUCAGAUAAAGAUGGGUAAGUAUUAACAACAAGUGAACGUGUUAGAGUCAAGUUUAUAAGGAUGUUUCAAGACCAGUGGUUUCUGUAUAAGAAGAGUUUCACUUUGGGUUGAGGAAAAAGAUUUCAGACACGAAAGGAAGAACUACAGCAGAAUCUCAGUUUUGUAAGAAAAGUUAAGACAAGAGAAUUAAGAGCACAAGGUUUGAGGAAAUGAGAAGAAAGGUCUUGAAACAGAUAAAAAGGGAGUAUCUACAAUAUAAGUUGUUGAAGUGAUUAUCAAGAUGAUUUAAGAUUUGGGUUGGUCUAGAAGUUCAGGGAUAUGAAGCUGCAAAUUAAGUUGAAGUCAGUUUUCAUUAUGUAUGGUUUUGUGGUAAUGUUGGAUGACCGGUUGAGUUUGAUCAAGAGAGAAGUAAUUGUUGGAUGUUGGGUUACAGAAGACAAUGAGACUGUGAGAUUCAGAGUAGGUUAGAAAGUUUGCUUGAGAAGUGAUGGUACUCUAUGGUGCAAAAGGUUCAAAGGCAACCUUUGUGUUUCUGAGGUUUCGAACUGAAGAGGUAAAUUCUUGAAGAAGGUUUGAGGGUAAGUUGACAAUGUUUAUCUUGGUAGGGGUUCGAUGAAGAUUUCUAUAAUUAUAUAGCAUUUGAUGAGGUGAUCAAAGUACUUAAGUUGGAGGUUUAUGUGAAGCAAUUUCCUAGCAAGUUUGUGUUACCAAUAAGGAGUAUUGGUAAAACUUGAAGAAAAUUGUUUUGAUGAUGCUGCAAGAAGUUUUAUUUGAAGAGAACAUUAGAAUUAUUUAAAAGCAAUUUGUAGAAUUUGAAUGUAGUAGGAAAG